GAUCCACCAUUAAGCUCUUUUUAAAAUGCAGAACUGUUAUUUUAGACAUGUGAGGGAUGCUAUUUCAGAAUUCAAUGAUUUAAAGUUAGGUAGAUAAUUACAUAUAACAAAAGAAGUACUAUCUUGUUCCAACUCAACACCCAGUAUUUAAGCCAACAGAGGUGAGAAAAAGGCAUAUUUAGAACAUCUUUAAUCAUGAGAAUAACGUUGACUUGGGAACAGAAGAAGAUAUAGAAAAAAUUGAAAUGGAGAAUUAAUGUUUCAAUAUGCCAGAAGCAUACAAUUUUUUAAUCACAUAUUUCAAAGAUUUUUUUUCAUUUAAUUAUAGAAUCUCUUGAUUCUCAAAGCAACGUCACUUACAUUCAAAGAACUGUAGUAGAAUUUAGAAGGGACAUUAGAGAGAUUUAGUUGUAUUUGAUUUUAGGAUGAAGAAGUAAGGUUCUGAGAAAUUAAGCUCUUCUGUGAAAGAACAGGAAAUAGGAUUAGGAUGUCAGGGGUUCCCAAAUCAAUCCUCUUUCUAGUAUAUUCCAAGGCAUAUGUCUAGCCUGUGAUAGGUUGUUCUUUGAUAAAGAUGAGAGCCAGAUGUAUCCAAGGGGCAUUGCUUGGUGGCUGAGAAAGGACUAGAAUUCAGAUUUUCUGACUUGUGAAAUAAUUUUUUAAUGGAAUAAUUAAGCCAGACUUUCAUUUUUGAUAAAAUUGAAUGUAAAGGAAAUUACCCAAUAAAGAUAAUUCAUUUAUAGUCAAUGUGAGAAGUAUUUUAAACUGUUUUAGAAUUAUUUCAAACCUCCUCACUUUGAACUUCUAAUUUCUCCUAUCUCCCUUCUCAUUCUUGGCAAGUAACCUCU
rnacentral:lncRNA from 1 species